CCUACGGGAGGCAGCAGUGGGGAAUAUUGGACAAUGGGGGCAACCCUGAUCCAGCCAUGCCGCGUGUGUGAAGAAGGCCCUCGGGUUGUAAAGCACUUUCAGUGAGGAAGAACGCCUGGUGGUUAAUACCCAUCAGGAAAGACAUCACUCACAGAAGAAGCACCGGCUAACUCCGUGCCAGCAGCCGCGGUAAUACGGAGGGUGCGAGCGUUAAUCGGAAUUACUGGGCGUAAAGCGCGCGUAGGUGGCUUGAUAAGCCGGUUGUGAAAGCCCCGGGCUCAACCUGGGAACGGCAUCCGGAGCUGUCAAGCUAGAGUGCAGGAGAGGAAGGUAGAAUUCCCGGUGUAGCGGUGAAAUGCGUAGAGAUCGGGAGGAAUACCAGUGGCGAAGGCGGCCUUCUGGAUUGACACUGACACUGAGGUGCGAAAGCGUGGGUAGCAAACAGGAUUAGAUACCCCGGUAGUC
rnacentral:rRNA from 1 species